rnacentral:snRNA from 1 species
GUGCUCACUUUGGCAGGACACAUACUAAAAUUGGAAUGACUCAGAGAAGAUUAGUAUGGCCCCUGCUCAAGGACAGCAUGUAAAUUCAUGAAGUGUUCCAUAUUAAA